GGGACCGGGUCGCUGCGCUCUGCGACUGCCGCGCUCCUCGGGGAGCCGUGAGGGUCUGAGCCCGGAAUCCAGGGAGCAGUUGGUGUCAGCCAGGAUCUGGUGAUUUAGAAGAGAAGCUUGAACAACCAAGAUGAAAACCUCUGCUUCCUUUACCUGAGGUGUGGCCCCGAUGGAGGUGAAGAAAUCGCUUCUAUUGGCAUUUUAAGUUCAGCAAGAAAUAUGGAACUGUACUUAGGAGAGGAGUACUGUGGAACCAGUAGGGGCAAGAAUGUUUGUACUGUCCUGGAUGACAGUAAACACGAAAUUAUUUUCUACAAAAAUUACUUAAUAGUGGCAUCCUCCACUCAUGCCUGUAAAAUAAAGGUAGGUCAUCAUUAAAUUUUAACGAAUUUGACAAUUGUGAAUGUUUAUGUAUAAUAUACGUACUGUUGGUUUGUUCAUACAGUUAGUCCAACUUGGUCCCUGUUUAUAUGAAACUAUGGUGCCAAGAAAACCACGUUUUGGCUCCAUUAUAUUUUAAAAGACAAGAAUUAGAGAAGUUGCAGAGAAAAGCACCUAAAAUCUGUUUGCACUGGUACCUUGAAUAUGAAAAAUAUUGUUGAGGUGAACUUUAGUAAUGUCAUCAGAGUCUAAGAGUACUGAGCUACAAAUAGCCCAAAGUAGUAAUGCAAUUCUGUUACUCACUGGCUGAGUGACCUUGGGAAAAUCUCUACAUUUCCUUGGACCUACUUCAUGGGUAAAUUAGAGGACUAAAGAAAAUAAAGCAUUGUAUUCUCUUUGUCUCCACAUUACUUCAUACAGGGUUGUGAGACUUACUUUAAGAAAAAAGUUGGCCAGGCAUGGUGACUCACGCCUGUAAUCCUAGCACUUUGGGAGGCCAAGG